CAGUCGCCACGGGAAUACGUAGGUGGCAAGCGUUGUCCGGAAUUAUUGGGCGUAAAGGGCUCGCAGGCGGUUUCUUAAGUCUGAUGUGAAAGCCCCCGGCUCAACCGGGGAGGGUCAUUGGAAACUGGGAAACUUGAGUGCAGAAGAGGAGAGUGGAAUUCCACGUGUAGCGGUGGAAUGCGUAGAGAUGUGGAGGAACACCAGUGGCGAAGGCGACUCUCUGGUCUGUAACUGACGCUGAGGAGCGAAAGCGUGGGGAGCGAACAGGAUUAGAUACCCGGGUAGUCCCUGUCUCUUAUAA
rnacentral:rRNA from 1 species